AUUGAACGCUGGCGGCAGGCCUAACACAUGCAAGUCGAGCGAGCGGCGGACGGGUGAGUAAUGUAUGGGGACUGCCCGAUAGAGGGGGAUAACUACUGGAAACGGUGGCUAAUACCGCAUACUAUCGGAUAACCCAUAUGGGAUUAGCUAGUAGGUGGGGUAAGGGCUAACGUAGGCGACGAUCUCUUGCUGGUCUGAGAGGAUGAUCAGCCAAACUGGGACUGAGACACGGCCCAGACUCCUACGGAGGCAGCAGUGGGGAAUAUUGCACAGUGGGCGCAAGCCUGAUGCAGCCAUGCCGCGUGUAUGAAGAAGGCCUUCGGGUUGUAAAGUACUUUCAGUAGGGAGGCGUUACCGACAGAAGAAGCACCGGCUAACUCCGUGCCAGCAGCCGCGGUAAUU
rnacentral:rRNA from 1 species